rnacentral:rRNA from 1 species
AAGGAUCAUUGUCGAAACCUGCCCAGCAGAACGACCCGUGAACGUGUUUACGAACAACGGCUAGGGGUGCUUUGUGCCCCUCGCCCGAGCAGGGGAGCGCUCACUCGUGGGGUGCUUUCAGCUACAUAAACGAACCCCGGCGCGAAAAGCGUCAAGGAACAAAGCACCUUCCUCCCUGUUCGGUUAGCCGUGCGRGGGGAGGUGCCAUGUCUUAACAAUAAACGACUCUCGGCAACGGAUAUCUCGGCUCUCGCAUCGAUGAAGAACGUAGCGAAAUGCGAUACUUGGUGUGAAUUGCAGAAUCCCGUGAACCAUCGAGUCUUUGAACGCAAGUUGCGCCCGAAGCCUCGGCUAAGGGCACGUCUGCCUGGGCGUCACGCAUCGCGUCUCCCCCAAAGAGGGGAAGGAAGAUGGCUUCCCGUGCCUCACCCGGCGCGGUUGGCCUAAAUUUGGAGCCCGCGGCACUUAGCUCUCGCGGCGAUAGGUGGUGAACAAGGCCUAGGCCGUGCAAACAACCCGCCGCGGCGUGCGCUCGUCGGACCCUUUGAAGUUGCCUUAAACCUUUGCGACCCCA